GUCUUGUCGUUUCUUUAAGUUAAUAAACAGUUUUUUGUGUUGUGACUAAAGGUGUAUCUUUCUAUGGAUAUUUGAAGUAUUCUUUUUCGUAAUUUUGAUGUUUCUUGUUGACUAUUGCUUCAGUACCCUUAUAAUCCUACUUACAUGAUUUAGUCAGUUCAAUUUAAAAGAACAUAAUGGGAAAAGGUAUGAUUGCCUUUAUGAGCAACGUUCCACUGAGGAUAAC
rnacentral:lncRNA from 1 species